UCUGGAUAUCAAGCAAAUCAAAUUACGCGAAGGCCCACCAGACACGCGCAUUAAUCAUCGGGUAGCCCAGCUACACACCUUUGGGGGCGGGGGCGGGGCGCGAACCUGGCCAGCGGCUUCCCCGGCGGCCGCAGGAUGGACCCGGCUGGGAGGCAGGCCCGGGAGCCGGAGGGGGCGUGGCCACUGUGUCCCCCAUCCCCCCACUUCCACACCGCCCCCCGAGGCCAGGAGCGAGAAGGACCCCGAAGAGCCCAAGCAGAUUUUGGCAGGUGACGUGGGGCGAGGAGUCCAUGAUGCUGAGAAGACAAGAAGGCAACCAACUGUGGACAAGAAAGGGUCCAGCCAAGGUCACAAGCCUUCCCCAGAACGGGAUCGUGCACAGAGGGAAACGGUCAUAAGGCUCGAGCUGGCAAGCUGACCAUCGCUCGGUUAGACACCGCUGCCGGCGAGAAAGGUGAACCAGCCAGCCUCCAUCCAGCCACUCGUGGCGUUUUUUUGAAAUCCGUAUUAUAACAUGGGAAAUGCCUACAAUGUAGCACUAACUGAAAAGGGGACCAAACAGCAAACAUCAAUCUGGUUACAACUCUAUUAUUAAAAUAAGCACAUGACGUUCUCUCGUGGUGCAGCAGUUAGGGAUCCCGUGUUGUCUCUGCUUGGGUUGCUGCUAUGGUACAGGUUGAUUCCUGGCCCAGGGAACUUCUGCAUGCUGUAUAUACAUAAUAUAUAAUAAGCACACAUAAAAAAUACUGGAAGGAACUAUGCCAAAUGUCAAUAGUGAUUUUGUUUGGGUGGUAGAACUACUAAAAUAUUUUUCUUCUUUUUACCUUCUGCCUUUUUUAAAUGCAGUAUUAUUUACUGACAGCAAAGUGCACAGGUUUUAAGGGUACGGUGAGUUCUGACAGGAGUUCCCGCCGUGGCACAAUGGGUUAAGAAUCCAAAUGCAGCAGCUUGGGUCACUGCAGAGACUCAGGUUCGACCCCUGGCCCAGUGCAGUGGGCUUAAAGGAUCUGGCGUUGCCACAACUGUGGUGUAGGUCACAGCUGCAGCUCCGAUUCCAUCCCUGAGCCGGAACUUCCAUAAGCUGUGGGUGCAGCCGUGAAAAAAAAAAGUUCUGACAAAUAGGUAUACCAACACCGAUAUCCCCAAAAGUCCCCUUGUGUGCUUAUCAAUCUCCCUCUCUGGCCAGUGGCUACUAUUCUGAUUUCUCUCUCCUCAGAGGGAGGAAUUAAAGAUACCUCCUGCCCAUUUUAGAGAUAGACGCGACAGGUUUUUGGAUUGGCCUCUGACCUGCUUUCGUGCUGCCUUGAGACUUUUUUUGAAGCGGGGAAGGAGCUAUUGAGGAAGAAGCCAGAAGCCCCCAGCAGGAGUGAGCACCGGGGCACCAGCAUCCCGCAGGAGACGUGUAUGAGCAAAAAUGG
rnacentral:lncRNA from 1 species